AGCCUAAAGAGAUAUAAUUUUAGGUAACCCCUGCCUAGCGACAUUAGGUCUAGCGGCCGCAGUACCUUGACUGUGCUAAGGUAGCGUAAUAACUUGUCCUUUAAUUAAGGUCUAGAAUGAACGGGACUACGAGAAAUGUUCUGUCUCCUGUAUUAAAGUCUACUGAACUUACUUAAAAGGUGAAAAUUCCUUUAGCCAAAGAGAAAAGACGAGAAGACCCUUAGAAUUUUUAUAAAAACUAUAAUUUUGGUUGUAGUUUAGUUUUCGUUGGGGCGACGAGGUAGCAAUCUAAAAUAAACCUACCUGUUAAAGAUUAAUGAACCGAAUUUUAUUAUUCAUAAAUAAAUUACCUAAGGGAUAACAGCAUAAUACUUGAAAGUGUUUGUGACCUCGAUGUUGGACUAGGGACUAAUCGGUUAACCACCAGGAUAGAUGAUUCUGUUCGAAUUUAAUACCCU
rnacentral:rRNA from 1 species